rnacentral:rRNA from 1 species
CAGUAGCCGCGGUAAUACGUAGGUGGCAAGCGUUGUCCGGAAUUAUUGGGCGUAAAGGGCUCGCAGGCGGUUUCUUAAGUCUGAUGUGAAAGCCCCCGGCUCAACCGGGGAGGGUCAUUGGAAACUGGGAAACUUGAGUGCAGAAGAGGAGAGUGGAAUUCCACGUGUAGCGGUGAAAUGCGUAGAGAUGUGGAGGAACACCAGUGGCGAAGGCGACUCUCUGGUCUGUAACUGACGCUGGGGAGCGAAAGUGUGGGGAGCGAACAGGAUUAGAGACUCCCGUAGUCCCUGUCUCUUAUAC